rnacentral:rRNA from 1 species
UACGUAGGGGGCUAGCGUUGUCCGGAAUCAUUGGGCGUAAAGCGCGCGUAGGCGGACCUGCAAGUCGGGGGUGAAAGCCCGAGGCUCAACCUCGGAACUGCCUUCGAUACUGCGGGUCUCGAGUCCGGGAGAGGUGAGUGGAAUUCCUAGUGUAGAGGUGAAAUUCGUAGAUAUUAGGAAGAACACCAGUGGCGAAGGCGGCUCACUGGCCCGGUACUGACGCUGAGGCGCGAAAGCGUGGGGAGCAAACAGG